CUUCCGUAGGGUGAACCUGCGGAAGGAUCAUUAUUGAAAACAAGGGUGUCCAAUUUAACUUGGAACCCAAACUUCUCAAUUCUAACUUUGUGCAUCUGUAUUAAUGGCGAGCAACUUCGGUUGUGAGCCUUCACUUACAAAACACUAGUCUAUGAAUGUAAAAUUUUUAUAACAAAUAAAAACUUUCAACAACGGAUCUCUUGGCUCUCGCAUCGAUGAAGAACGCAGCGAAAUGCGAUACGUAAUGUGAAUUGCAGAAUUCAGUGAAUCAUCGAAUCUUUGAACGCAUCUUGCGCUCUCUGGUAUUCCGGAGAGCAUGUCUGUUUGAGUGUCAUGAAUUCUUCAACCCAAUCUUUUCUUGUAAUUGAUUGGUGUUUGGAUUCUGAGCGUUGCUGGCGUUUGCCUAGCUCGUUCGUAAUACAUUAGCAUCCCUAAUACAAGUUUGGAUUGACUUGGCGUAAUAGACUAUUCGCUAAGGAUUCGGUGGAAACAUCGAGCCAACUUCAUUAAGGAAGCUCCUAAUUUAAAAGUCUACCUUUUGAUUAGAUCUCAAAUCAGGCAGGAUUACCCGCUGAACUUAAGCAUAUCAAUAAGCCGGAGGAA
rnacentral:rRNA from 1 species